GAUUUUCAGUAGGCGGUAAUCCCCAGAGGGUAGCUUCACGCGCAUCUCCCGCCCUUUGGCUCCUCAGCCAAGCAUACACCCCGCAAGACUGGACACAGUGAAAAGGCAGCCUUUGGCAACCAUAAAGAAGGCCCUCACCAGGAACCAAUGAUGCUGGCACCCCGAUUUCAGACUUUCAGCCUCUAGAAUGAAAGUCCAAAACCCCUGGUGAAAGUUUCAAUUAUCUUGAGGUAUACAUCUGAACCAACCAUAAGAUCACCAUUUUUUCUAUGGUAGGAAAUCUGCAGCUGCUCAAGUACUACUAGACUUGACAUGCAACUUUCACCCAUCCACCUUUGAACCUUCGAAAAAUGUUUGCAUAAAAGAAUGUGUCUUUAAGCCCCCCCCUUUUUCCACUCACUCCCUGAAGUAGGAGAAAUAUUAGGAAAUUUACUCUUCCACUCAAAAGCUCUCACACUAGCCUUCAAGAAGCUACACUUAUGAUAGAAGCAUGAACCCAGCAGAGGAGAGCCCCAGAGGGGUCACAGUGUAUGACAGUCAACUGUAUACGUUCACACUUCAGACAUCUUAUUCAAACCAACUGCAGAAGCCUGAUUUGUUCUUGAGAAAAUAUUAUGCUGACUUCAAUUCAGACAUUUCUAUUUUGGUGCAG